UACGUAGGGGGCAAGCGUUGUCCGGAAUCAUUGGGCGUAAAGCGCGCGUAGGCGGCUCAGUAAGUCCGCUCUGAAAGCUUGGGGCUUAACCCCAAGAGGCGGGCGGAUACUGCUGGGCUCGAGUCCGGAAGAGGCGAGUGGAAUUCCUGGUGUAGCGGUGAAAUGCGCAGAUAUCAGGAGGAACACCGAUGGCGAAGGCAGCUCGCUGGGACGGUACUGACGCUGAGACGCGAAAGCGUGGGGAGCGAACAGG
rnacentral:rRNA from 1 species